rnacentral:rRNA from 1 species
GAUGAACGCUGGCGGCGUGCCUAAUACAUGCAAGUCGAACGAAACUUCUUUAUCACCGAGUGCUUGCACUCACCGAUAAAGAGUUGAGUGGCGAACGGGUGAGAACACGUGGGCAACCUGCCCAAAAGAGGGGGAUAACACUUGGAAACAGGUGCUAAUACCGCAUAACCAUAGUUACCGCAUGGUAACUAUGUAAAAGGUGGCUAUACUACCGCUUUUGGAUGGGCCCGCGGCGCAUUAGCUAGUUGGUAGGGUAAAGGCUUACCAAGGCAAUGAUGCGUAGCCGAAUUGAGAGGUUGAUCGGCCACAUUGGGACUGAGACACGGCCCAAACUCCUACGGGAGGCAGCAGUAGGGAAUCUUCCACAAUGGGCGAAAGCCUGAUGGAGCAACGCCGCGUGGGUGAAGAAGGUCUUCGGAUCGUAAAACCCUGUUGUUAGAGAAGAAAGUGCGUGAGAGUAACUGUUCACGUUUCGACGGUAUCUAACCGGAAAGCCACGGCUAACUACGUG